rnacentral:rRNA from 1 species
CCGCAUGGUUCAAUUAUAAAAGGUGGCUUUUAGCUACCACUUACAGAUGGACCCGCGGCGCAUUAGCUAGUUGGUGAGGUAACGGCUCACCAAGGCAACGAUGCGUAGCCGACCUGAGAGGGUGAUCGGCCACACUGGGACUGAGACACGGCCCAGACUCCUACGGGAGGCAGCAGUAGGGAAUCUUCCGCAAUGGACGAAAGUCUGACGGAGCAACGCCGCGUGAGUGAUGAAGGUUUUCGGAUCGUAAAACUCUGUUGUUAGGGAAGAACAAGUACCGUUCGAAUAGGGCGGUACCUUGACGGUACCUAACCAGAAAGCCACGGCUAACUACGUGCCAGCAGCCGCGGUAAUACGUAGGUGGCAAGCGUUGUCCGGAAUUAUUGGGCGUAAAGCGCGCGCAGGCGGUUUCUUAAGUCUGAUGUGAAAGCCCCCGGCUCAACCGGGGAGGGUCAUUGGAAACUGGGGAACUUGAGUGCAGAAGAGGAGAGUGGAAUUCCACGUGUAGCGGUGAAAUGCGUAGAGAUGUGGAGGAACACCAGUGGCGAAGGCGACUCUCUGGUCUGUAAC